rnacentral:other from 1 species
CUGGAGCUGCGACGCACGUCAGGGCACAUUUUCCCCGGGGCCUUAUCGAUCUCAUGGGAGCUGUUCCUGCCCUUGUCCGUGGACUUGGGCACACGGCGCCCACCUACUUAGGUAGGUUCCCGGGAUCGCUUGUCCGACGGCGGAGCGGCUCCGCU